AUGAGUCGAGAGAUCCACCGGGUGGCGAGCCUGCAGCGGGACAGCUCGCUAUGGCGUCGCGGCGACGACGUCUUCUCCCGGACGUCGUCGCGGUUCCACGACGAGGAGGACGACGAGGAGGCGCUGCGGUGGGCGGCCCUGGAGCGGCUGCCGACGUACGACCGCGUGCGGCGCGGGAUCCUCAUGGUGGAGGAGGGCGGGGAGAAGGUGGACGUGGACGUGGCCCGGCUGGGCGCCCACGAGAGCCGGGCGCUCAUCGAGCGGCUCGUUCGCGCCGCCGACGACGACCACGAGAACUUCCUCCUCAGGCUCAAGGAGCGCAUGGACAGGGUCGGCAUCGACUACCCCACCAUUGAGGUGCGGUUCGAGAAGCUGGAGGUCGAGGCCGAGGUGCGCGUCGGCAACCGCGGCCUCCCCACCAUCGUCAACUCCGUCACAAACACCCUCGAGGCCGUCGGGAACGCGCUCCACAUCAUCCCCAGCAGGAAGCAGGCCAUGAACGUCCUACACGAUGUCAACGGGAUCAUCAAGCCCCGGAGGAUGACACUGCUGCUUGGACCUCCUGGCUCAGGCAAGACGACACUGCUACUGGCGAUGGCAGGGAAGCUCGACAAGGAGCUCAAGGUCUCAGGGAAGGUCACAUACAAUGGCCACGGGAUGGACGAGUUCGUCCCGCAGAGGACCGCAGCUUACAUCAGCCAGCACGAUCUCCACAUUGGGGAGAUGACCGUGAGGGAGACGCUGGCGUUCUCGGCCCGGUGCCAAGGUGUUGGCACUAGAUACGAGAUGCUUAUUGAGCUGGCCAGAAGGGAAAAGGCAGCGAACAUCAAGCCAGAUCAUGAUAUCGAUGUCUACAUGAAGGCCUCAGCUAUCGGAGGGCAAGAAUCAAGUAUUGUGACAGAAUACAUACUAAAGAUACUAGGACUGGAUAUUUGUGCUGACACGAUGGUAGGCAAUGAGAUGCUAAGGGGUAUAUCUGGUGGACAACGUAAGCGUGUCACAACAGGUGAAAUGCUCGUUGGCCCUGCAAAAGCUCUGUUCAUGGAUGAGAUAUCCACUGGGCUGGAUAGCUCAACCACAUACCAGAUUGUGAAUUCUCUCAGGCAGACUAUCCACAUCCUAGGCGGAACUGCUGUCAUCUCCUUGCUCCAGCCAGCCCCUGAAACAUACAACUUGUUUGACGACAUUAUACUCCUCUCCGACGGGCAGGUUGUGUACCAGGGCCCCCGGGAAAAUGUGCUCGAGUUCUUUGAGUUCAUGGGCUUCAAAUGCCCUAGCAGAAAGGGUGUUGCUGAUUUUUUACAGGAGGUGACAUCAAAGAAAGACCAGGAGCAAUAUUGGUGCAGGGGUGACAGGCCAUAUAGUUUUGUACCUGUGAAGCAAUUUGCGGAUGCAUUCCGUUCCUUCCAUGUCGGGCAGUCCAUAGAGAAGGAGCUUAAAGAGCCAUUUGAUAGGACCAGGAGCCACCCUGCUGCUCUGGCUACUUCCAAGUUUGGUGUCAGCAGGAAAGAGUUGCUCAAAGCCACUAUCGAUAGAGAACUUCUACUGAUGAAGAGGAACGCAUUCAUGUACAUAUUCAAACUUGUCAAUUUAACUCUAAUGGCAUUCAUUGUGAUGACCACAUUUUUCCGCACAACCAUGCACCGCAAUGUUGAAUAUGGAAUUAUCUAUUUGGGGGCCUUGUUCUUUGCUCUCGACACAAUAAUGUUUAAUGGUUUUGCGGAGCUUGCGAUGACCGUAAUGAAACUUCCGGUCUUCUUCAAGCAGAGGGAUCUUCUUUUCUUUCCUGCAUGGGCCUACACCAUACCAUCGUGGAUUCUUCAGAUCCCUAUCACCUUUGUUGAAGUCGGAGUUUAUGUUUUCACCACAUAUUAUGUCAUUGGAUUUGAUCCUAGUGUAAGCAGGUUUUUUAAGCAGUAUCUGCUGCUCCUUGCAAUCAAUCAAAUGUCAUCUUCAUUGUUCCGCUUCAUUGCUGGAAUUGGAAGAGACAUGGUUGUGUCCCACACAUUUGGACCUUUAACAUUGUUGGCUUUUGUAGCAUUGGGUGGCUUUAUCCUUGCAAGACCUAGUAUCAAAAAGUGGUGGAUUUGGGGUUACUGGAUAUCUCCGCUAUCAUAUGCACAAAACGCUCUCUCAACAAACGAAUUUCUAGGACCCAGUUGGAACCAAGUUGUUAAUGGAACAAAUGAGACCAUUGGAGUUACCGUGCUUAAGAGUCGUGGCAUCUUUACAGAAGCCAAGUGGUAUUGGAUUGGGCUUGGUGCCAUGGUUGGAUACACUCUCCUCUUCAACCUGCUCUACACCGUAGCCCUUUCAGUUUUGAGUCCGUUGACAGACUCUCACCCAUCAAUGUCUGAAGAGGAACUGAAAGAAAAACAUGCAAAUUUAAGUGGUAAAGCUCUAGAGGAUCAUAAGGAAAAGAAUUCUAGGACGCAAGAACUGGAAUUAUCUCACAUUAGUGACCGAAACUCAGCGAUUAGUGGUGUGGAUUCUAGUGGCAGCAGGAAGGGACUAGUACUUCCAUUUACACCACUGUCACUUACCUUUAACGACACAAAAUACUCGGUGGACAUGCCAGAGGCAAUGAAAGCACAAGGAGUAACGGAAGACCGCUUGUUGCUUUUAAAGGGUGUCAGUGGUUCUUUUAGGCCAGGAGUACUUACUGCAUUAAUGGGUGUGAGUGGUGCUGGAAAGACAACCCUGAUGGAUGUUUUAGCCGGUAGGAAAACCGGAGGAUACAUAGAGGGAGAAAUCACCGUAUCAGGCUAUCCAAAGAAGCAAGAGACCUUUGCACGUAUCUCAGGAUACUGUGAGCAAAAUGAUAUUCAUUCUCCACAUGUGACAGUAUAUGAAUCGCUCAUAUUUUCCGCAUGGCUGCGGCUUCCUUCAGAUGUUGAUUCAGAAAGAAGAAAGAUGUUCAUCGAGGAGGUCAUGGAUCUAGUAGAGCUCACAUCAUUGAGGGGUGCACUUGUUGGGCUUCCUGGAGUGAAUGGUCUGUCAACUGAGCAACGCAAGAGGCUUACAAUUGCCGUGGAGCUUGUUGCUAACCCGUCGAUCAUUUUUAUGGACGAGCCAACAUCUGGUCUUGAUGCUCGAGCAGCUGCAAUUGUGAUGAGGACUGUCAGGAACACUGUUAACACUGGUAGGACCGUUGUUUGCACCAUUCACCAGCCAAGUAUUGACAUAUUUGAAGCAUUUGAUGAGCUUUUCCUAAUGAAGAGAGGGGGAGAAGAAAUUUAUGUUGGUCCUGUUGGACAAAAUUCAUCAACUUUGAUUGAGUAUUUUGAGGAAAUUGAAGGCAUUAGUAAGAUAAAAGAUGGAUAUAACCCAGCAACGUGGAUGUUGGAAGUGUCCUCUAGUGCCCAGGAGGAAAUGCUGGGUAUUGAUUUCGCUGAAGUUUACAGACAAUCAGAACUAUAUCAAAGGAACAAGGAACUCAUAAAGGAGCUAAGCAUGCCACCUUCUGGCUCUAGAGAUCUCAACUUCCCUACACAGUACUCUAGAUCAUUCGUUACACAGUGUCUAGCUUGCUUGUGGAAGCAAAACUGGUCAUAUUGGAGAAACCCAUCCUACACAGCAGUGAGAUUACUAUUCACCAUCGUCAUUGCUCUAAUGUUCGGAACAAUGUUCUGGGGCCUUGGAAAUAAAACUCGAAGCCAGCAGGACUUAUUUAAUGCCAUGGGAUCAAUGUAUGCUGCAGUACUAUACAUCGGUGUGCAAAACUCUGGUUCUGUUCAACCAGUUGUCGUGGUGGAGCGGACAGUCUUUUACCGGGAAAGAGCAGCUGGCAUGUAUUCAGCUUUUCCAUAUGCAUUUGGACAGGUUGCGAUUGAAUUUCCAUACAUCAUGGUUCAGGCUUUGAUAUAUGGCGGGCUCGUCUAUUCCAUGAUAGGAUUUGAGUGGACAGUUGCCAAGUUCUUGUGGUACCUGUUCUUCAUGUACUUCACCAUGCUAUAUUUCACGUUCUAUGGAAUGAUGGCUGUAGGCUUGACACCGAAUGAGAGCAUAGCAGCUAUCAUCUCAUCAGCAUUCUACAACGUAUGGAACCUCUUCUCAGGAUAUAUAAUCCCGCGACCUAAACUUCCUAUUUGGUGGAGGUGGUACGCAUGGAUUUGCCCGGUGGCAUGGACGAUGUACGGACUGGUUGCCUCCCAGUUUGGUGAUCUCCACCAUCCGCUCGAUACGGGAGUCCCAGGCCCAAAGAUAACUGUGGCCCAGUUUGUCAGGGACUAUUAUGGCUUCCAUCAUGACUUCUUGUGGGUUGUGGCGGUGGUGCACGUUGCUUUCACCGUGUUGUUCGCCUUCCUGUUCAGUUUCGCCAUCAUGAGGUUCAACUUCCAGAAGAGAUGA
rnacentral:rRNA from 1 species